UUGUUAUCAAGAAAGGUGGAGGGAUUAGACCCUAUGAAGCCUUAGCAACCCUUUGUUUCUAUAAUAAAGAAGGUGCUAAAUUCUACCAACUGUUGAAAUUAAUUCAGCAUAUCGGCAGAUAACGA
rnacentral:ncRNA from 2 species